GUAUCGCUGUGUCUUCCAGAAGCUCCCAAAUCUUCCACACCAGACCCCCAUUUCUCAACUUCCUCCUGUCUCUCUUGAAAGGGGAAAAAUGAGUAGCCGCUCAAGCCGUACCAUCUAUGUUGGAAAUCUCCCUGGUGAUACUCGUAUGAAAGAAGUAGAAGAUCUGUUUUAUAAGUAUGGGCCUAUUGUUGACAUUGAUCUGAAGCUCCCACCAAGACCCCCAGGUUAUGCUUUUAUUGAGUUUGAAGACCCACGUGAUGCUGAAGAUGCAAUUUCUCACCGGGAUGGGUAUAACUUUGAUGGUUGUCGUUUGCGGGUUGAACUUGCACAUGGCGGGCGAGGAAUUUCAUCAUCAGUGGAUCGCUAUAGCAGUUAUAGUGGUGGUGGCAGUAGCCGUGGUAUUCCGAGGCAUUCUGAUUAUCGUGUUUUGGUCACUGGAUUACCUCCUUCUGCUUCAUGGCAAGACCUAAAGGAUUAUAUGCGUCAAGCUGGUGAUGUCCUUUUCUCUCAAGUAUUCCGUGAUCGUGGUGGCAUGGCAGGAAUUGUGGAUUAUGCACACUAUGAUGACAUGAAGUAUGCUAUCAAAAAACUCGAUGAUACUGCAUUUCGGAAUGCUUUUUCGCGGUCUUACAUACGAGUGAGGGAGUAUGAUUCAAAUGAUUCAAGAAGGAGCUACUCUAGAAGUCGCAGCCGUGAUUCCAGACGGAGCUAUUCAAAAAGCCCUAGUAGUGAUUUUAUGUCGAGAAGCCCAAGUCACAGCCGUAGCUAUAGUGGCAGGAGCAGAAGUAUAUCUCCAAAGAGAAAAUAUUCACAACGAUCUCCAUCAGUAUCUCAUUCGAGAUCUGGACUUUGCGGCGACCUGGGGACUGCAUGUUAGGAACUUGAUGGCAUGUGGUACUCUGACGCCUGCAACUCUUUUGGUUGUUGAGACUGGAUCAUUGUAGACGGAUGAGUUGCAAUUUAAAAGCUGGAUUUCCUGUGAACUGAGUGGCUAUUGGUACCACUCACAACAAUCCCACGGUGUAGAUGAUUCAAAACUUCUUCUCAACAUUAUUAUAACUUGCGGUUGGGAAUCUGGGGUGGAUGUCAUUCUCCUUUCAACUAGGAUUUUACAUUAUGACGCUGUAUUUGUUUUUUUCUUUAUCAGUCCAUUUGAGUUGUAAUGUGCUGCCGUGAUCAUGAGAAAAUUGGGUUAGUACUUUUAAUGUUGGUUGCUGCUAAAGACUUGGGGUACAUUUCAUUUCUUCGUUUUCUUCCUUUGGUUGUGGUAACUCUAAAUGGAACUGGCAUUGAGGCUUUUGCAUCAAAGUUUUGAAGGAUUGUUCUGGAUAUUGAAUUGGGUUGUUUGUGGACUUCUUGCAGAUCUCGAUCAAGAUCCAGAUCUCCAGUUACUUCGCCUCCUCGCCAUAAAAGUCGUCGAAGUCCCAGCAGGAGCAUUACAAGCCUAUCACAAUCCCGUUC